rnacentral:rRNA from 1 species
GGGAUAGAAUUCCAGGAGUAGCGGUGGAAUGCGUAGAUAUCUGGAGGAAUACCAAAGGCGAAGGCAGUCCCCUGGUCCGAUACUGACACUGAGGUACGAAAGCGUGGGGAGCAAACAGGAUUAGAUACCCUGGUAGUCCACGCCCUAAACGAUGUCGAUUAGCCAUUGGAAGGACCCYUUUUCCUUUCAGUGACGUAGCUAACGCGUUAAAUCGACCGCCUGGGAAGUACGACCGCAAGGUUAAAACUCAAAGGAAUUGACGGGGACCUGAACAAGCGGUGAAUGAUGUGGAUUAAUUCGAUGCUACGCGAAGAACCUUACCUACCUUUGACAUGGCCAAAGUUCUACCGAGAGGCGGAAGUACUCGUAAGAGGAUUGGCGCACAGGUGCUGCAUGGUUGUCGUCAGUUCGUGUCGUGAGAUGUUGGGUUCAGUCCCGCAACGAACGCAACCCUUAUCUUUAAUUGCUCCUAUUUUAACAGGCACUUUAAAGAAACUGCCAAUGAUAAGUUGGAGGAAGGUGGGGAUCACGUCAAGUCCGCAUGGCCUUUAUAGGUAGGGCUUCACACGUCAUACAAUGGUUAGAACAAAGAGCUGCAAAUUCGUAAGAAGGAGCCAAUCUCACAAACCUAACCUCAGUUCGAAUUGCGGUCUGCAACUCGAGCGCAUGAAGCCGGAAUCGCUAGUAAUCGUGGAUCAGAAUGCCACGGUGAAUACGUUCUUAGGUCUU